GUGGGUAGGGGCAGGAGUGGAUGUCUGGUGGAUGGAUGGAGGAUGACUAGAUGGGGGAUGAAUGGAGGCCUGGAUAGAAGACGGAUAGAUGGAGAGGUCAGUGCACAAUGGAUGGAUAGAUGGAGAGGUCAGUGGACAAUAGAUGGAUGGAUAGAUGGAGAGGUUAGUGGACAAUAGAUGGAUGGAUAGACGGAGAGGUCAGUGGACAAUAGGUGGAUAGAUGGAGAGGUCAGUGGACAGUGGAUGGACAGAUGGAGAGGUCAGUGGACAAUAGAUGGAUGGAUAGAUGGAGAGGUCAGUGGACAAUAGAUGGAUAGAUGGAGAGGUCAGUGGACAACAGAUAGAUGGAUAGACGGAGAGGUCAGUGGACAACAGACGGAAAGAUGGAGAGGUCAGUGGACAACAGACAGAUGGGUGGACAGGUCAGUGGACAACAGACAGAUGGAUAGAUGGAGACGUCAGUGGACAAUAGAUGGAUGGAUAGAUGGAGAGGUCAGUAGACAAUAGAUGGAUGGAUAGAUGGAGAGGUCAGUGGACAGUGGAUGGAUAGAUGGAGAGGUCAGUGGACAAUAGAUGGAUGGAUAGAUGGAGAGGUCAGUGGACAAUAGAUGGAUAGAUGGAGAGGUCAGUGGACAAUAGCUGGAUAGAUGGAAAGGUCAGUGGACAAUAGACGGAAAGAUGGAGAGGUCAGUGGACAACAGACAGAUGGGUGGAGAGGUCAGUGGACAACAGAUAGAUGAACAGAUGGAGACGUCAGUGGACAACAGAUGUGUGGAUAGAUGGAGACGUCAGUGGACAAGAUAGAUGGAUAGAUGGAGAGGUCAGUGGACAACAGAUAGAUGGAAGGAGAGGUCAGUGAACAAUAGAUGGAUAGAUAGAGAGGUCAGUGGACAAUAGAUGGAUAGAUGGAGAGGUCAGUGGACAACAGAUGGAAAGAUGGAGAGGUCAGUGGACAACAGAUAGAUGGGUGGAGAGGUCAGUGGACAACAGACAGAUGGAUAGAUGGAGACGUCAGUGGACAAAAGAUGGAUGGAUAGAUGGAGAGGUCAGUGGACAAUAGACGGUUGGAUGGAGAGGUCAGUGGACAAUAGACG
rnacentral:lncRNA from 10 species